GUCCACGCCUUAAACGAUGGGUACUAGACGUCGGGGGGUUUAUCUUCCUGGUGUCGCAGCUAACGCAAUAAGUACCCCGCCCUGGGGAGUACGGUCGCAAGAUUAAAACUCAAAGGAAUUGACGGGGGCCCGCACAAGCGGUGGAGCAUGUGGUUUAAUUCGAUGCAACGCGAAAAACCUUAACCUGCCCUUGACAUCUAGAGAACCCUGCAGAGAUGCGGGGGUGCCUUCGGGAACUCUAAGACAGGUGCUGCAUGGCUGUCGU
rnacentral:rRNA from 1 species